rnacentral:rRNA from 1 species
UAGAGGCCUACCAUGGUGGUAACGGGUAACGGGGUGUUAGGGCACGACACCGGAGAGGGAGCCUGAGAAACGGCUACCACAUCCAAGGAUGGCAGCAGGCGCGCAAAUUACCCAAUCCCGACACGGGGAGGUAGUGACAAUAAAUAACAAUACGGGGUUCUUUUGGAUCUCGUAAUUGGAAUGAGUACAAUUUAAAUCUCUUAACGAGGAACAAUUGGAGGGCAAGUCUGGUGCCAGCAGCCGCGGUAAUUCCAGCUCCAAUAGCGUAUAUUAAAGUUGUUGCAGUUAAAAAGCNNNUAGUUGAAUUUCGGGGUUAGUAGGUUGGUCAUGCCUCCGGUAUGUACUGAUCUCACUGAUUCCUCCUUCCUUAUGAACCGUAAUGCCAUUAAUUUGGUGUUGCGGGGAAUUUGGACUGUUACUUUGAAAAAAUUAGAGUGUUUAAAGCAGGCUAACGCUUGAAUACAUUAGCAUGGAAUAAUGAAAUAGGACGUUCGAUCUUAUUUUGUUGGUUUCUAGGAUUGACGUAAUGAUUAAUAGGGAUAGUUGGGGGCAUUAGUAUUCAAUUGUCAGAGGUGAAAUUCUUGGAUUUAUUGAAGACUAACUACUGCGAAAGCAUUUGCCAAGGAUGUUUUCAUUAAUCAAGAACGAAAGUUAGGGGAUCGAAGACGAUCAGAUACCGUCGUAGUCUUAACCAUAAACUAUGCCGACUAGG